AUUGAACGCUGGCGGCAUGCCUUACACAUGCAAGUUGAACGGCAGCACGGGUGCUUGCACCUGGUGGCGAGUGGCGAACGGGUGAGUAAUACAUCGGAACAUGUCCUGUAGUGGGGGAUAGCCCGGCGAAAGCCGGAUUAAUACCGCAUACGAUCCACGGAUGAAAGCGGGGGACCUUCGGGCCUCGCGCUAUAGGGUUGGCCGAUGGCUGAUUAGCUAGUUGGUGGGGUAAAGGCCUACCAAGGCGACGAUCAGUAGCUGGUCUGAGAGGACGACCAGCCACACUGGGACUGAGACACGGCCCAGACUCCUACGGGAGGCAGCAGUGGGGAAUUUUGGACAAUGGGCGAAAGCCUGAUCCAGCAAUGCCGCGUGUGUGAAGAAGGCCUUCGGGUUGUAAAGCACUUUUGUCCGGAAAGAAAUCCUUGACUCUAAUACAGUCGGGGGAUGACGGUACCGGAAGAAUAAGCACCGGCUAACUACGUG
rnacentral:rRNA from 1 species